GAGCUGAGAGAUACCGAAUUUGACCAGUCCCCAUAUUCCCAAUUCAUCAGCCUUCCUAGAACCAGGGAGGAAAACGAAUCUGGGGACGAGUCAAUUGAAAACGUUACCUUCAAGAAUCAGAAAAAAUACGAGAUUCUGCGGAAACCCAAUUUGUUUCUUGUAUUAAUCCACACAUUUUUGUGCUUUUCUUGUGCGUCAUCUGGGAAUACAUCCAUUUGUGCAUUGCUUGUAUCAAAAUGAGUAUUAAUUUUAUCGACUGCCUUUAGAUUUUUCGAUUCUGGGUAUUCUUGGAUUGCGAGAUUUGGUCAUAUGGGCAAGAUUGAAGUUUGAUAUUGAAAGAAGUAGUACUUAUUUCAGUUUGGAUCUUGUUAGCCUUGUGUUUGUUCAAUUUUCUUUGCAUCUGUUUCAUGAUACUUGUAAUAAUUGGUGAAAAACAAGGUAGGCUUGUGAACAUACGGUGUUCAAUUCCGGUUGUUCUCAAGCCAUUGGUUUACCCAUUUGAGCAAAAGGUUUUACCCUUUUGUAUCCCAAGAGAUAGGUGGGCCAAGGAAUUUUAUAAUCUACAAGGUGGAUAGUAAGUUGUUCCAUCUGAAGAUGAGUUCUUCUACACAAGGGACUACUUUGUCCACAAAUGUGGCAGGGUUAGUUGAUGGGUCUUCUUCUUCUGCUCAUACAGAGGUUUCAGUUUUUGAUGGUUUGCCAAUAUAUGUGAAGGAGCUGAUUGCUGGAGGAUCUGCUGGUGCAUUUGCCAAAACUGCAGUUGCUCCAUUGGAGCGUGUCAAAAUACUUUUGCAGACAAGAACUGAAGGAUAUCAUUCCCUUGGAGUUCAUCGAUCUCUAAAGAAGCUUCUGAAGCAUGAAGGUGUUAUUGGAUUUUACAAAGGAAAUGGAGCAAGCGUUCUCAGAAUUGUCCCAUAUGCUGCACUUCAUUACAUGACCUACGAGCGGUAUCGAGGAUGGAUAUUGAAUAAUUACUCUGCGUUAGGAACAGGACCUGUUGUAGAUCUUUUGGCUGGCUCAGCGUCCGGAGGAACUGCAGUUUUAUGUACAUAUCCCCUUGAUUUGGCUCGGACCAAACUGGCUUAUCAGGUCAAGGACACAAGAGGAAAUUUGGGGAAUGGCAGUAGACCAACUCAUGUUCAUCCUCAAUAUAGAGGCACUAAAAAUGUCCUAGAGGCUGUCUACAAGGAAGGAGGACUCCGUGCACUUUAUCGAGGUGUAGGGCCCACCCUUAUUGGUAUUCUUCCUUAUGCUGGAUUGAAGUUUUACGUUUAUGAGGAGUUAAAGAGACAUGUUCCCGAAGAGCACCAAUCCUCCAUUAUGAUGCGGCUCUCAUGUGGAGCUAUAGCUGGUUUAUUGGGUCAGACAUUUACAUACCCAUUGGACGUGGUUAGGAGGCAGAUGCAGGUAGAGCAUCUGCAACCUUCAUUGCAAGACAGAGCCAGAUAUAGGAACACAUUUGAUGGACUUUCUUCAAUUGUUCGUAAUCAAGGUUGGAGACAAUUGUUUGCAGGGCUCAGUGUUAAUUAUAUGAAGAUUGUUCCCUCAGUGGCAAUUGGUUUCACAGCAUAUGACACGAUGAAGGCGUACCUUCAUGUUCCUCCCCGGCAGAAAUCAAAAUCCGUAUCAGCUUCAUAAAUACACCCCUAAAUGCUGACUCACAUAAUUCUGUAUUUAAGCUUUUGAUGAUCUUUGUUUACCAAGGGAGAAAGAAUACGUAUUCAAGGCGUGCACAAAGUUCUCGCCAUAUGUGAGGUCUGGAGUCAAACCACAUUGGGACAAAUUGGCUGCUUGGAGAACCAAAGAUCGACACAUUCUAAGUGGAAUCCAUGUUUGCAACCAGGAAACCAACCUUGCAAGUUCCUCAUUUCCAAUCACAUCCAAGCAAAUUGCACAAUCAUUUCCCAACCUCAAAUCUUUUCCGAUGAUUCUAGGGAGUUUUUCGAGCUGCACGUCAGAAAUUCCUUGCAUUCGGGCUGUUUUGAUCACCACUCGUCGUCCCUACCUCUUGAAAAGACAACGUAGAGGUAGAAGAAGAAGAGCAAAGCCAAGACGGCGAAAGGUAAACAAAGUAGUAAAUACAGAGAGAUUGGCAUUUUCUCUUUUAAUUUACUUUUUGGUACAUUUGUUGGCAAGAAGCCAUCUCUGAAGAUGAACAUACAGCAAGAAGCUGAAGAGAAGAUGAAGAGAAAAACAAAGAAGAAAGAAGAAGGAACUCAACCGACAGAGACAUAGAAGUCUCCAGAAGAAGAAAAGAAAAGAAGAUAUU